rnacentral:rRNA from 1 species
UACAGAGGUCUCAAGCGUUGUUCGGAUUCAUUGGGCGUAAAGGGUGCGUAGGCGGCGCGGUAAGUCGGGUGUGAAAUCUCGGGGCUUAACUCCGAAACUGCAUUCGAUACUACCGUGCUUGAGGACUGGAGAGGAGACUGGAAUUCAUGGUGUAGCAGUGAAAUGCGUAGAUAUCGUAAGGAACGCCAGUGGCGAAAGCGAGUCUCUGGGCAGCAUCUGACACUGAGGCACGAAGGCCAGGGGAGCAAACGGG